UUGAACGCUGGCGGCAGGCCUAACACAUGCACGUCGAACGGUAACAGGAAGAAGCUUGCUUCUUUGCUGAAGAGUGGCGGACGGGUGAGUAAUGUCUGGGAAACUGCCUGAUGGAGGGGGAUAACUACUGGAAACGGUAGCUAAUACCGCAUAACGUCGCAAGACCAAAAAGGGGGACCUUCGGGCCUCUUGCCAUCGGAUGUGCCCAGAUGGGAUUAGCUAGUAGGUGGGGUAACGGCUCACCUAGGCGACGAUCCCUAGCUGGUCUGAGAGGAUGACCAGCCACACUGGAACUGAGACACGGUCCAGACUCCUACGGGAGGCAGCAGUGGGAAUAUUGCACAAUGGGCGCAAGCCUGAUGCAGCCAUGCCGCGUGUAUGAAGAAGGCCUUCGGGUUGUAAAGUACUUUCAGCGGGGAGGAAGGGAGUAAAGUUAAUACCUUUGCUCAUUGACGUUACCCGCAGAAGAAGCACCGGCUAACUCCGUG
rnacentral:rRNA from 1 species